AAAGAAAGCAUUAACAAACUUUAUUUGAAAGAAAGUUCACCGACCAUAUUUUAUUUUAUUAUUUUCACGUGACGACCUAAAGUAAUGGCUGACAUACUUUUAUUUUUGAAAGAGCAACAUAUUUUAAAUGUUAUGUGGGAUCAUAAAGAAAUGACUCCGAAUAGAGUUAUGAACUGGCCAUUCAAGACUCUAUAGUGAUGAUUUUCCUUCUGAACUUAAUUACUGUGAAAAAAAGAAAGAAAU
rnacentral:lncRNA from 1 species